rnacentral:rRNA from 1 species
AUUGAACGCUGGCGGCAGGCCUAACACAUGCAAGUCGAGCGAGCGGAGGACGGGUGAGUACUGUCUGGGAAACUGCAUGAUGGAAGGGGAUCACUACUGGAAAGGGUAGCUAAUACAGCAUACCAUCACAUGUGCUCAGAUGGGAUUAGCUAGUAGGUGGGGUAACGGCUAACCUAGGCGACGAUCCCUAGCUGGUCUGUGAGGAUGACCAGCCACACUGGAACUGAGACACGGUCCAGACUCCUACGGGAGGCAGCAGGGGGGAAUAUUGCACAAUGGGCGCAAGCCUGAUGCAGCCAUGCCGCGUGUGUGAAGAAGGCCGUCGGGUUGUAAAGCACUUUCAGCGGGGAGGCGUUACCCGCAGAAGAAGCACCGGCUAACUCCGUGCCAGCAGCCGCGGUAAUUC